rnacentral:tRNA from 1 species
CUCCAGGUCGCCAAGUGGGAAGGCGUUGGUCUGCAAAACCGACUAUUCGUGGGUUCGAUUCCUGCCCUGGAGUCCA